GAAACUUGUUUCAAAACAAGUGAGACUACAAGGCUAUUAUAUACAUGUGCCAUAGUGAAGGAGAAGAAAAUGGAGGUUCUGUGCACACAAAAGAAAGACAGAAGACAAAUAAGUUUGAAAUGACAUGCGUUUUCAUUUUUAGGAAUACUUGGGGUUUGCAGUGACAGAAAAGACAUCUCGGAUGCUCAAAUUAGGUGAAACUCAUCGAAACGGUGUGCUCAAGUGCUUUACG